rnacentral:lncRNA from 1 species
CCCUGGCGCUGAGGCGGUGCCCGCAGCCGCGGAAAUAUACCUGUCUUUGGGCGCGCGCUCCCAGCUCCGUGCUGUCCCAGUGUAGCCAAAUGGUGCAGUGCUACAAACUAGCGCAGAUAAGUCCUUAAGUAGUUUUCACGGUUAGAUGCUUUUAUUAAAAAGUCAUUUCUGAAGGAUUCUUUAAAUUAACCAACGUAAUGAUCUACAGUGAGGAGUUAAAAAAAAAAAAAAAAAGUUAGGGUGUGAGGCCUCUUCGGGAUGAGCCACGCUUUUUGGUACUGGUUCUGUUAACACAAAUAUUUACAAACAAUCUGUUCCUUAAACCAGCUGAACAAACGUAGCUAACUCCUGCUGCCAAAGCGUCACAGCACUUGUUAUAAGCAUCACCUAAACCCGCAGCUCACUGCGUACUUCCGAGCCUCUCCAGGAAAGGCUCACAGCAGUGUGUACAGACUGACAGACCGCAAUGUUCCUGCACUACAGCCAGCGCUACGGCCGUGGCUCUCAGCUGCCCGCCCACGCAGGGCACAGAGGCCAGCAUCCUCACCCACGUUUACUUAAUGUAUUAAGGAAUUUCAGCACUGCUUGACCGAGGAACCAGGCAGAUUCCUGGCAGUCCGGUACUGCCUUACUUCCUGUACAGUACUGCUUGUGGAGCUGAUUUCCAAGGUGCUCAAAAGACUGCACCUGUCUGCCCUCAGAGGUUUCUCAGAGCAGCUCUGUCCUGUGCUGGAUACUCUCGUUCAAAAGGCAUUCCAUUUACUUCACAAGGCUCAGAGAAAAGCUACCAAGAAUAGAGCUUUGAGUACUCUAUCCCUUUCUUUUCCCCCUUGCAUCGAUUAAGAGGCAUUGAAAAUAGCUCCACACCAACUGGCAUUGCCAGCUCUGGAAAUAAGUCCUGAGUUCCUACAGCUGUAGGCUUUACUCCACUGACAGCUGUACGCUUUCAGUCUGUUUUGGUGGCUGCUGCUGCUGCUGCUGCUCAUAUUUUCUUGCGAUGGAGUACAUCUCCAGCUGUUGCCGCAGGCGGAUCUUCUUCAUGCUGUUGUAGAAGUUGGGCUCGGCCGGCGUCUCGGCUGCAGGGGGCAGAGUGAAGAUGCGCAGGAUCCUCCUCUUGUUCCGCCGCGUAUAGACGAGCAGGGCGAGGCUGGCCAGCACCACCAGCAGGUACACGUUGGUGGCUUCGUUCCAGGCCUCGUGCACCGAGUAGUCGAUGGCCCCGCUGUCGCCCAGCGCCGCCGAACCGCCUCCGCCCGCCCCCCCGGCCGCUGCCGCCAUGGGAGAGGACGGCGCUGGGGGG